rnacentral:rRNA from 1 species
GAUGAACGCUGGCGGCGUGCCUAAUACAUGCAAGUCGAGCGAACAGACGAGGAGCUUGCUGCUCUGACGUUAGCGGCGGACGGGUGAGUAACACGUGGAUAACCUACCUAUAAGACUGGGAUAACUUCGGGAAACCGGAGCUAAUACCGGAUAAUAUAUUGAACCGCAUGGUUCAAUAGUGAAAGACGGUUUUGCUGUCACUUAUAGAUGGAUCCGCGCCGCAUUAGCUAGUUGGUAAGGUAACGGCUUACCAAGGCAACGAUGCGUGGCCGACCUGAGAGGGUGAUCGGCCACACUGGAACUGAGACACGGUCCAGACUCCUACGGGAGGCAGCAGUAGGGAAUCUUCCGCAAUGGGCGAAAGCCUGACGGAGCAACGCCGCGUGAGUGAUGAAGGUCUUCGGAUCGUAAAACUCUGUUAUUAGGGAAGAACAAAUGUGUAAGUAACUAUGCACGUCUUGACGGUACCUAAUCAGAAAGCCACGGCUAACUACGUG